rnacentral:rRNA from 1 species
GUCUAUGGCCAUGCUACCCUGAACAAGUAAGAUCCCGUCUGAUCUCAGAAGCUAAGCAGGGUCGGGCCUGGUUAGUACUUGGAUGGAGACCACCUAGGAAGACCAGGUGCUGUAGGUG